AGGGCGGGCCUUUCAGGCAUCCUCUCCUAAAAACUUUCAUGGGCUGGUCUUCGGACCGGCCCUUUUUUUGUGCCUGU
rnacentral:sRNA from 1 species